AACGAACGCUGGCGGCGCGCCUAAUACAUGCAAGUCGAGCGAGAAGACGUAGCAAUACGUUUGUAAAGCGGCGAACGGGUGAGGAAUACAUGGGUAACCUACCCUCGAGUGGGAGUAACUAGCCGAAGGUUAAGCUAAUACGCGUACGCUCCUUGGACUUCGGUUCAGGAGGAAAGCGGAUACCGUGGGUAUCGCGCUCUUGGAUGGGCGUCAUGUCCUA
rnacentral:rRNA from 1 species